GACUCAUCAUUGGUCGAGCAGACUCGAAUGUUAUUCGAAUCGACUCGAAUCCUAUCCAAAUCGACUUGAAGCUCAACGAUUAGUUCUGGAGACUUUUCAAAACUAUGUAGAAUUAGUUGUAACAGCUCUAUUUUGGAUUUCAAUAGUCAUAAAUAACUUUUUAAUCUUUUGAAUAGUGUUAAACACUCACCAAACUUAUUGAAUAAGCAAGAGAACAAGAAAGAAACAAGAAAAAGCA
rnacentral:lncRNA from 1 species